rnacentral:rRNA from 1 species
GCGCACCAGGCGAGAAACCUCCGCAAUGCGGGAAACCGCGACGGGGGGACCCCGAGUGCCGUGGCAACGCCACGGCUUUUCCGGAGUGUAAAAAAGCUCCGGGAAUAAGGGCUGGGCAAGGCCGGUGACAGCCGCCGCGGUAAUACCGGCGGCCCGAGUGGUGGCCGCUAUUAUUGGGGCCUAAAGCGUCCGUAGCCGGGCCCGUAAGUCCCUGGCGAAAUCCCACGGCUCAACCGUGGGGCUCGCUGGGGAUACUGCGGGUCUUGGGACCGGGAGAGGCGGGGGGUACCCCUGGGGUAGGGGGUGGAAAUCCUAUAAUCCCCAGGGGGACCGCCAGUGGCGAAGGCGCCCCGCUGGAACGGGUCCGACGGUGAGGGACGAAGGCCAGGGGAGC